GUGUGGUGUAUGAGUGUCAUGUGUGCGGUGUGUGGUGCGUGGCGUCUGACUGCGUGGCGAGCGCGGUGUGCGGGGUGUGACGUCCGUCGCCCACAGGCGCAGGCCGGCGCAGCCCUGUCCCUGCCGAGCAGGCGCCGCGUCUCUGGGGCCGCAGAGCCGCGGCCCGCGGGAGCGAGGAGGAGCCGAGCAGCGGCGCGAGCUGGGACUUCGCAUCUGACACGGGAGGACCCGGUGUCUCGGAGGCGUGAGCUGCGCAUUUCCCUCCUGAAACUCCGGGGAGAAUCCCCCUCCCCGCCGCCUCCCGCCGCCCGCGCCCUGUCAGCGUCGUGUGUUCCCGUCACUGGGAAAGGCCUUUCGGAUCUCACAGAAGCAUGACUGAAUCAAUGUUUAACUUUUACCCCUAAGAGAGGGCCAAUCCAGAAAGAACCUUUGACUUGGUAUUGAAAGUGAAAUGUCAUGGCUCUGAAAAUGAAGAUCCUGUGGUUUUGUGGAAAUUCCCAGAGGACUUUGGAGACCAGAUGCCAGAACGCUAGCGAGUCAGAACAUUGUGAUCAUCCUCUGUGGAAACAAGAAGGACCUGGAUGCAGAUCGCGAAGUUACGUUCAUAGAAGCCUCCAGAUUUGCUCAAGAAAA